GUUCUUUGUCGUGAAGGAGGUUUCUUUGCUUGAUCAAGGAACUCAAGGAAAGGAGUGCAUUUCUCAACUUCAACAGUAAAUCGAAGUUGUAUGAAUUCGAUAAGGAGGGAAACCAGUGGAAGGAAAGAGGUGCAGGCUCAGUAAAGAUCUGUGCCAAUCAUUUAGGAUUUGGCUGGUGAAGUGAAACAACAGCUUGCUAGAGCGAUACAAGCGAGAAAAACAAGUGCCCCAAAGAAAUAGUCUUAACUUGACUAAAUUAGAGUUGAAUAAAGUUUAUAAUUUGUCAAGGCUGAGAUGUACGAGGCCUGUACUUGUUAGCAGCUGAUUGUAUAUAUUAGUAUGAUUACUCUGGAUAUGGGAGGUUGACAGGAAAGCCAAGUGAGCAGAACACCUAUGCAGAUAUUGAGGCUGCAUACAAGUAUUUAGAAGAGAAUUACAAUACAAAGCACUGAGGUUUCUUCCAAGACAAAGAAGUGCAAAAAGGUCUAUAUGCUUCGACUUGAAAGAGAUGCUCUAGUCAGUGGUUCUGGUUCAAAAAGAUCCUGGACGGUAAAAAUGACUUUUCAGUUGUAUGUUUUUUCAUUGUCCUCUUUGAAUGUAUAAAAAUGUUGAGGUAUAAUUCUGGUCUUAAGCUCGAGUGGGCUGUUUUGUGCGAGUUGAACAGCUGCACCACUGCAGCUGAUCAGCCUCAUUUUCCAGCUUGUAAUCUGAUUUCGACAUUUCAAACGAGUCCAUAUUGUUGUUCCUUUAGUUUAGUCCUUUGUGUUCCUGGAAAUUUAUGUAAUAUUGUGUUUUGAUGUAUAUAUAUAUGAAAUGCGUUAUUUUGAUA